AAAUAACUCAAAUUUUUCUACUUCCCCAUGUCUCGCCAGUUCCCCUGUAUUUCUCUAAAUUAGAUUUUUUUUUAUAAUAAAUCCCUGCCCCGUUUUAAGUAUUGUAACUCCCGAUCACCGCUACCCUUUCCGAUUGAUCUGAGCCUCAUAACUUAUGUCAGGGCUCUGCCCGACUAAGUUGUUGGGAUUCUAUCUCGGGACUUCGGGACAAGGUUGAAUUAGGGGUACUAUACUUACCACGAGUGCAUUAUAUAUUUUUAUAUAGCUCAGAAGUUAUACCCAAAAUUUAUACCAGGAGGUUUUCUAGUUGAACCCUAAAGUUACAAAGUGGGUUCAUUCUCUUUUCUCACCGUUUUAUUUCCUUUUUGUGAUUUACCCAAAACUAUUAUUUAUUUUGUAAACAAAUCUCAUCAAAAGUCAUAUCUAUUAUUUUAUUUACCCAAUAGGAAACCCUAGUUGAGACACCCAAGUAAUUCUGCACAAUCCCUAAAAUUUUCAGAAUAAUCAGAAUCAGGAUCAGGGCCCCUAAAACUCAAAGGAGGCAAUUCCCAUUCGAUAUUAUCUUCAAAAAUCUGUUGUCAAAAUUGAAUUUAGUCGUACAGUCGACUCAUCAAGCCUACCCCUAAACGUGUCCACCCUAGGCUAGGAAAUUGACCCGUCGCGCCACGCGACGGGUGCACAUGUUCUUGUCGCGACACGCGAGAGGGACGAUUUUCCAGCUAUAAAUAGUAGGCUGUGGGACUUGAUUUCUGGAGUUGGAACGACGGAAAAUUCCGUCUUACACUCCGAGUUAUAGCCGGUCUGCUAUAAAACACCCACAAUCACGAAUUCUGCUACGAUACAGGGUAUUAACUCGAUCGCUAUUACGAUUCAACGUCCGAUCGAUUAUAACUAUCCAACGAUUGUUUGAGUGCUGCUCAAAUUGAGUUUAUAUUUUGUUAUUCAUCGUGAUUUCGACUUGAAUGUUUGAGUGCUGUCUAAAUUCAGACGAUACUCUGUCAUUCGUUGUGAAUCCGCUGAAUUGUUAAGUAUUGCACUUUGUUAAUCGUUUUCAGGGUUUAAUCUCGUGAAUUGUCGUAAAUGCUGUAUUAGUUAUUUACCUAGUUUCGUGUGCAUCAUUUCCUAAAUUAGGUUAUUAGUCUUACCAAUAGGCUAAACUUCACCUCAUACACCUACAAUCAAAAUAGAUGCUAAUUCUCUGAAGAACCUGAAUCAUGAAGCUUGUUAAUUCAAUACUGCAUGCUUAUAAUGUAAUUUCAGUAGAUUGGAGUAAGAAUUGGAUCCGGCACUGAAGGCAUCAAGAAGUGGCUUAUUUUAUUAAUUUAAUCAACUUAAGAAAUAUUGUUUUUAGGGUUUAUCCCGUAUUAAAAGCUACCUUUGUAAAACAUGGAAUUUAUUCCAUCUAUUUAAAUAAAAUCUGGUGUUUCUAAACUCUGAUAUUUUCCUAACUCACGGUCCUGAUGAAAUUUCCGCUGCAAUGUUUUUCAAAAAUAAUCACCGGUACCACUGGGCUGUUCGCGGCGCCCGAUUCCGGCCAGGAUGGGGUCGGGGGUCGUGACAUAAAUGUUAUAUGAUAUACGUACAGAAUGUAAUUUUAAGAAAUGAGAUGAAGGUAUUAGACCCGUUAUAAACGGAUCAUAUGAAUGAAAGUGUUAGUACAAGUUUGAAUAAAUAUGAAUAUUGACCUGUUGCAAACAGUCAAGGAAAUGAGAAUGUUAUGUGAAAGUAUAGUAUGAAUAGUAAGAGCUUAUUAGGAAUAAGGGGUUGUUUGGUAGCCUCUUAAUGACCAUUCAGAUGCUACCUCUUAAUGGUUUAAAACCUCUGAAUGAAUAAGAGGUAACCUCAAGUCUGAAUGGUUAAGAGGUAACAUCUGAAUGGUAAAUCAUCACAUGUCACAUUCUUCUACCUUCUCACUGGUAAAAUUCUUAGUGGUUCCAUUAAGAGGUAGCCUCUUAAUGACCAUUCAGAGGCUACCAAACAGCCCCUAAGUCAGUUAUAUGAAUGACUUAUGAAUCAAGGACAGAUAGUUACCUAUCAUGAUGAGGUACCAGUCAAAGUUAGACAUAUAUGUGUGUGUAUAAAUUUCGAAAUAAGGUUGUAUAGUUGACGAAAAUAAUAAGAAUGUUGAGGUGAACAAAAAGAUAUAUAAUGCACAUGAUAUAUGGGUAUUAGAAUGAUGAAUGAACCAAUAUCUAAGAAAUGUGUUGGAAGCUAGCGCUAUUAGUGAAAGCGACACUAAUAAGAACUCUGAGACGGGUUCUUAAAAAAAAUAGAGGGUUGUUACUAAGAUGGGCCAGUGGUCGUGUUGAUAGGGUAAGGGAAAGGAUAUUAGUGUCUAAUGGAAAUGAGAAAGGUUUCGGGGACGAAACCUCUUUUAAGAAGGGUAGACUUGUAACGCCCCAAAACCGAAUUAUUAAAUUUGUUAGUAAGAUCCCAUGACUAAUAAAAUAGAAUGUAAUAACUAGGUUAUUGAACCUAGUUAAAUGCUUAGUCAAAACAAACAAGGACAUGAAAUUGGGUUAAUUAUGAGUAAGUGUCAAACAUGAGGGGGUUGAUUUGGAAUGAAUGGGAAGAGAAAAUAUAAUAUAAAAUAAAAUUAAAACCCUAAACACACACACCUGGGCGUGUGUGUGUGUGUGUGUUCGAUCAGAGGAGAAGAAGAAAGGGGGAAACCCCUCUCAAACCCUAAUCAACGAAUGGGAUGGAUUAUGGCCAAAAUCGAACUUGCAUGAGCCUUAAAAGUGAUUAUCUAAGCAAGCUUUAGCCAAGGUAUGCCUUAAUUCUCAGUUUUGAUGAACAACCAUGAAGUGGGUUUUGAUGAAUAUGUGAGUUUGAUCUAAAUUAGGAUGAAAGUUUACUAUUGUUAUCAUGUUUAAGUUGAAUUAUGGCUAAAUUUUAGUUGUCAUAGUGAUUUGGAAUGAAACCUAUGUCUAUGAGUAUGAGAAUGGUCAUGAUGAACAUGUGUAUGUUGAUGAUUAUGUUGAUGCAUAGGAUAUGUGGUAGGUUUUGAUGGUAACAUGAUGCAGAAUUUAUGACAAAGUGAUCUUGCUUGAAUAUGGAAAGAAUAUGCUUGAAUUACUUGUACAUUAUGCAUAAAUGUUAGUACGCACGCCUAGUGUUUGAUGAAAUGUCUAGGUGAAGCUAGAAAGUAAAAUUAUUGCAAGAAUUUGGUAAUUUGGUGUAGAAUGUGAUAAUGUUAUGUUUGAUAGUUAAGUUAGCAUGAGAUACGUGUUUUGGAUGAAAUACAUGUGAGUAGUUAGUUGAUGAGAUGGUUCUGUGAAAGUAUGCAUUAGGAAUUAGUACCCGAUGCUUGAAAGGUGGUGCACACCAUGAGACGGACUAGUGGCUUAAUGGUAAUUUAGGAUGAGCAUGUACUAAGGGAAGAAGUUGUGAGCUACUAGUUAAGUAUGAUGUUACAUUUCAUUAAAAUGGCUAACUUGGUAUAUAGUUGUCAAAUGUAGGAUUAUGAAAAUGUAAGUAUGUGUAAAUUGAUUUUGUGUAACUAUGUGAUCAUAUAGUUUAUGUGUCAUACAACAUCAUGUAUGAAAUGAAUAUGAUGUCAUCAUUAUGGCCUACUAUAUCAACAUGAAUGCGUGUUCAUAAGUUGGAGGUUAUAUGCUAGAAGGUUGACUUCUGAAAGUCAACUGAGAAUUUAUAACAUGAUUAAGUAUUUGACACAAAUGAAAGAAUUAAGAGAUCAUGGGAUAUGUGUUAGACCAAUUAUGUGUUAUGUAAGAUAAUGAAAUUUGAAUUUUAAGAUAUUGAACAAUGCGGUUGACAAUUCAUGUCGUAUGCGUGAUAGUGAAAGUCAAUGUAAAUAAGAAUUUGGUAAAUGUGUGUUAAUUUGAAAGAACAUGAAUACUAACAUUAUUAUGGCAUGACGACAUGAAAGAAUUGGAACCACACAAGCAUGGACCAAGCAUGGAAGGCUAACGGAUCAAGAUGAGGCAAGGAAGCGAUUACGAGCACGGAUGCACAAGGAAAGUGACUUCCGAAUCACUUCUUAGUAUACAUAUAGAAUUUUCUUGUUUAUGGAUGUAGGUAAGUUAUUGUAUGAGUAUGAAAUGAAUGAAGGUAUUAAGAUAAGUAUUGAACUAGAUAGUCGGGGGUAGUUUGUGGGACCAAACGGGUCGAAUAAAUAAGAGUAAGUGAGAUAAUGGUAAUAAAAUUUGUAAUGAUUAAGGACCCGGGGUAAGGAUUCUUAUUCUAAUAUGUAAGGAAUUGUUUUACGGAUGUUUAGGAACAAGUUUCAAGUGAAACGGAUUCAAAACGAGCAAGUUAUGCAAAUUUUAGUUUUAAAAUGGAAGGCUGAUAUGGGCUUCACCGUAGCUUACGGUGCCCACCGUAAGCUACGGUGGGAGCUGGAGCUUUAUUUCUGCCGUAAGGCAGUAUAAGGCUGCCGUAGGACUUUUGGGGGCCACCGUAAGCUACGGUAGCCACCGUAGCUUACGGUGGAGGUCAGGUGCAAAUGUAAAGUUUGUGGAUUUCUUUGUUUUCCCUUCGAAUUCGGACCCCGUGGACCCAUUCCAAGCCUUGUUAAGUUUUUAUAAUGUUCCUUAACCCUACCAAAUGGCUUGGUAAGUUACGGAUGAGUAUGAAACUCAUUUUUAAGAACCGAAACAUACCCGACAGAUAUUUUUUAAAGCGUUUAGGAUGUGCGAAUAAGACCGGGGUAUGUAAGCGAGUAUGCGGGGUAACGAAUUAAGUACGUGGGUAUGUAUGUAUAUAUGUAUGUAUGUAUAUAUGUAUGUAUGUAUGUAUGUAUGUAUGUAUGUAUGUAUGUAUGUAUGUAUGUAUGUAUGUAUGUAUGUAUGUAUGUAUGUAUGUAUGUAUGUAUGUAUGUAUGUAUGUAUGUAUGUAUGUAUGUAUGUAUGUAUGUAUGUAUGUAUGUAUGUAUGUAUGUAUGUAUGUAUGUAUGUAUGUAUGUAUGUAUGUAUGUAUGUAUGUAUGUAUGUAUGUAUGUAUGUAUGUAUGUAUGUAUGUAUGUAUGUAUGUAUAGAUUUCACUAGUGAAUGUAUGUACGUGUAUAGUUAUGUUUCGUUUUAAGUAUGGGUGUAAGUAUGUAGAUAUGUACGUAGGUAGGUAUAUAUGUAGGUAACGGUGUAGGUGCGUAUGCGGGUAGACAUACAUGGGUGUAAGUAUUAUGUAUUUAAGUGUGAAGGUGCAUACACGUGUAGGUGUGAACGUAUAUAUGCGGAUGCUAGUAUGCAUGUAUAACCGUAUGCCAGAAGGUAAGUACGUAUGCUCAUAUGAUUUCAAUAUGAUUGUGUAUUGAUGCAAAUAACAGUGUACCUUGAGAAUGAAGAAUAAUGCAGGUACAAUGUUGAAGUCUCUCCGGAGAGUGGAUACUCAGACGAAAAUGCCUAAGUAUAAAGGAAUAACGGAAUAGAAAGUAAAAGUGUAUGAAUCUUGUUACGUUCAUAUUGUGUACUAAUGAUUGAAAUUGUAUGGUAAGUGUAGGUUGUACGAGUCACGGAGGAUCACUGAGGAGUGGAGAUCGAAGACCGAGUCACAAGUUAGAUUGUACGGGAAUACUUGAUUAUGUAAAAUGAUAGUUAUAAGUUAUGCUUUUAUUUUGUAAAUGUGUACAAAAGAUACCUAUAUUGUAAGAAGGUAUUUUAUAAUGAACUUGCAAGUAGGUCAAAAAUGUUUUUAACGAAAGAAAUUUUUAUAGUACGAA